UAUUACUCGUUGAGACGUUUGAUAUUGGUGCAGUACAGAAAGCGAUUUGCUCGUCUUUUAAUCUUACAAGUUAUUAUUGGGUCCUUGACCGUAAUAAACUUACGAUGAAGUUCCUCCUUCCACUCAUGAAGGGCUGACAGAAAGGGGGAGGUAGUACACUGGUGGGAGCAGAGCUUCCAGCAUGCUCAUUCAUCCAUAUUGCAUGAAGAAAGAGAAUGCCUAACAAGGGCCCUUUAUGGUUCUGGAGUGUUUCAGUUAGAGGUCAUCCUUUGGGUGAGCAUUCGCGAGUGAAUCAUUUCUAGAAGCAAUGCAAAUAUAGACAACAAGUUGUUAGUUGUCUAACUAACAAGAAGGGUAUCUUGCUGGUAAGCUGCAAAAGAUUGACGACAAAGAACAGCUACAGACAUUUAUGUAGUUUCAAGUGCAUACAAAAAAUGCACACAAAAUAGACUCUCUCUGGUGUAAUGAAUGUGCUACUAUAUGUGAACAUAUUGAGGAGGUUGUGGAGGGAGAUAAUAAAAUGGCAUAUGUAAUCAAGUUUACUCUCAAGGAUUUUGAAAUGAUAGAUCUGUAGUUCCAAAGAAGACUGGGCCAGCCUCUCCUUACCACGCAUGAAAACAGCUAUAGAGCAAGCUAAGUUUUUAUAUUGUCCUUUACUCAACAAAGCAAUAACCAACUGUCACUUUUAAUGCUACAUCUACAGGUUGAACAUGUGUACAUGUUGUUAUUGGAAAGAAUAAACAUAGCAACAUUUUUGUCCAUGGAAACUGGAUUCCUCUGUGCAAUAAAUCAUUGAAAUGGCA